rnacentral:rRNA from 1 species
GAUGAACGCUGGCGGCGUGCCUAAUACAUGCAAGUCGUGCGAGCAGACGAGGAGCUUGCUCCUCUGACGUUAGCGGCGGACGGGUGAGUAACACGUGGAUAACCUACCUAUAAGACUGGGAUAACUUCGGGAAACCGGAGCUAAUACCGGAUAAUAUAUUGAACCGCAUGGUUCAAUAGUGAAAGACGGUUUUGCUGUCACUUAUAGAUGGAUCCGCGCCGCAUUAGCUAGUUGGUAAGGUAACGGCUUACCAAGGCAACGAUGCGUAGCCGACCUGAGAGGGUGAUCGGCCACACUGGAACUGAGACACGGUCCAGACUCCUACGGGAGGCAGCAGUAGGGAAUCUUCCGCAAUGGGCGAAAGCCUGACGGAGCAACGCCGCGUGAGUGAUGAAGGUCUUCGGAUCGUAAAACUCUGUUAUUAGGGAAGAACAAAUGUGUAAGUAACUAUGCACGUCUUGACGGUACCUAAUCAGAAAGCCACGGCUAACUACGUG